AUAGAUACCCGGGUAGUCCACGCCGUAAACGAUGGAUGCUAGCUGUUAGGAGUAUCGACCCUCCCUAGUAGCGUAGCUAACGCGUUAAGCAUCCCGCCUGUGGAGUACGGUCGCAAGACUAAAACAUAAAGGAAUUGACGGGGACCCGCACAAGCGGUGGAGCGUGUUGUUUAAUUCGAUGGUAAGCGAAGAACCUUACCCAGGCUUGACAUCCUGCCAAAGACUCCGAAAGGAGACUGUGCCUUCGGGCCGCAGUGACAGGUGAUGCAUGGCCGUCGUCAGCUCGUGUCGUGAGAUGUUUGGUUAAGUCCAUCAACGAGCGCAACCCCCUAUAGUUAGUUGUAUUUUUCUAGCUAGACUGCCCUGGCAACAGGGAGGAAGGAGGGGAUGAUGUCAGGUCAGUAUCUCCCUUACGCCUGGGGCUACAAACACGCUACAAUGGCCGGUACAAAGGGGCAGCCAACCCGGCGAGGGGGAGCAAAUCCCAUCAAAGCCGGUCUCAGUUCGGAUAGCAGGCUGAAACUCGCCUG
rnacentral:rRNA from 1 species